GUGACCUCAAAUCAGGUAGGACUACCCGCUGAACUUAAGCAUAUCAAUAAGCGGAGGAAAAGAAACUAACAAGGAUUCCCCUAGUAACUGCGAGUGAAGCGGGAAAAGCUCAAAUUUAAAAUCUGUCAGUCUUUGGCUGUCCGAGUUGUAAUCUAGAGAAGUGUUAUCCGCG
rnacentral:rRNA from 1 species